GGCCGUAGGCUGGGGUCGGGCACCACAUGGAACGGUGGCUAAUACCGGAUAUGCCUGAGGGUGAAAGGUUAACUGCCUGAAGAUGAGCUCGCGUCUGAUUAGCUAGUUGGUGGUGUAAGGGACUACCAAGGCGACGAUCAGUAGCUGGUCUGAGAGGAUGAUCAGCCACACUGGAACUGAGACACGGUCCAGACUCCUACGGGAGGCAGCAGUGGGGAAUUUUCCGCAAUGGGCGAAAGCCUGACGGAGCAAUACCGCGUGAGGGAGGAAGGCUCUUGGGUUGUAAACCUCUUUUCUCAGGGAAUAAGUUCUGAAGGUACCUGAGGAAUCAGCAUCGGCUAACUCCGUGCCAGCAGCCGCGGUAAUACGGAGGAUGCAAGCGUUAUCCGGAAUGAUUGGGCGUAAAGCGUCCGUAGGUAGCAGUGUGUGUCUAUUGUUAAAGAGUUUGGCUUAACCAAAUAAAGGCGGUAGAAACUACACAGCUAGAGUGCGUUCGGGGCAGAGGGAAUUCCUGGUGUAGCGGUGAAAUGCGUAGAGAUCAGGAAGAACACCGGUGGCGAAAGCGCUCUGCUAGGCCGCAACUGACACUGAGGGACGAAAGCUAGGGGAGCGAAUGGGAUUAGAUACCCCAGUAGUCUCAC
rnacentral:rRNA from 1 species